CAGGUUCGAGAAGAAACCAGCCACGAUGAUCACCAAACUAAUAGUGAUCAACAGGUUGUGCGGGGUAAAGAUCUUAAGCCUGGAGUUCAUGCUGCCUCUACUGAUCAACCAUCCACUGAAUCUUCACUGCAGUUGCCGGAAAAACGCAUACUUGAGCUUAUCCUUGACAUAUUAC